AACUAGUCACUUUGUUCUCCAAACUUAGCUAAAAUAUGGGUAAUUUAUGGUGCUUAGGCAUAUAAAUACACCCAAGUUCAAGGAUCCAUUAGAGGGAAAGUCUGGUGCCUGUAGCCAUGGUAAUUCCAUCUCUAAUAACAUAAAUUUAAGUUGUUGCAGUUAAAAAGCUUGUAGUUGUACUUUGGGAUUGGCCAGCCAGUCAGCCUAUAGUGUGCACCGAUUGUUUCAUCCCUUUUGUCAGCGAUGCACUCCUGGCCUUCACUGGAUGGGUCGUUCCUCCAGUGCUCUUACAUUGUAGAAAUUAGAGUUCUCAAAGCAAACCUAUGCUCUUACUUUGGGAUCGGAGUAAUGAUUAACAAGGACAGUCGGGGGCAUUCAUAUUUCAUAGUCAAAGGUGAAAUUCUUGGAUUUAUAAUAGACAAACAACUAUGAAAGAAUAUGCAAAAAUAUUUUCAUUAAUCAAGAAUGAAAGUUGGGGAAUCGAAGAUAAUCAGAUACCAUCUUAGUCUCAACCAUAAAUGAUACUGACCAGGGAUCAGCGGAUGUUGCUUUUAGGACUCCGUCGGCACCUUAUGAGAAAUCAAAGUUUUUUGGUUCCUGGGAGAGUAUCGUCACAAGGCUGAAACUUAAGGAAAGUGAUGGAAAGGCACCACCACGAGUUGAGCCUGUAACUUAAUUUGACUAAACACAGGGAAACUUACCAGGUCUAGACAUAGUUAGGAUUAACAUACUGAGAGCUCUUUCUUGAUUCUAUGGGUGGUGGUGCAUGGUCAUUCUUAGUUGGUGGAGCGAUUUGUAUUGUUAAUUCAGUCAACGAACAAGACCUUAGCCUGCUAACUAACUAUGUGGAGGUAUCCCUUCGCUGCUACCUUCUUAGAGGGACUACAACCUUUUAGGCUGUAAAAGUUUGAGGCAAUAACAGGUCUAUCAUGCACUUAGAUAUUCUAGGAUUCACGCGCACAACCCUGAUGUAUUCAACGAGUUUAUAGCCUUGGACGAUGGGCCUGGGUAAUCUUUCAAAUUUCAUCAUGAUGGCGAUAGAUCAUUCCAAUCAUUGUUCUUCAACAAGGAAUUCCUAGUAAGCGCGAGUCAUCAUCUCAUGUUGACUACAUCUCUACUAUUUGAACACACUGCCCACCGCUUCUACCAAUUGAAUGAUUGGGUGAAAUGCUUAGAUUUCGGCAAUGUGGGUGGUUCUCUACCUGCAACAUUGUGAGAAGUCCCUUGAACCUUAUCAUUUAGAGAAAGAAGAAGUUGCAACAAGGUGUUUGUAGGUGAACCUAAUAAGGAUGAUUG
rnacentral:ncRNA from 1 species